UACGUAGGCAGCGAGCGUUGUUCGGAAUUACUGGGCGUAAAGAGUGUGUAGGCGGUGCUCUAAGUUCGGUGUGAAAUCUCCUGGCUCAACUGGGAGGGUGCGCCGGGAACUGGAGUGCUUGAGUGUGGGAGAGGCGCGUGGAAUUCCUGGUGUAGCGGUGGAAUGCGCAGAUAUCAGGAGGAACACCGGUGGCGAAGGCGGGUCUCUGGGCCAUUACUGACGCUGAGGAGCGAAAGCGUGGGGAGCGAACAGG
rnacentral:rRNA from 1 species